rnacentral:rRNA from 1 species
GACGAACGCUGGCGGCGUGCCUAAUACAUGCAAGUAGAACGCUGAAGGAGGAGCUUGCUUCUCUGGAUGAGUUGCGAACGGGUGAGUAACGCGUAGGUAACCUGCCUGGUAGCGGGGGAUAACUAUUGGAAACGAUAGCUAAUACCGCAUAAUAGUAGAUGUUGCAUGACAUUUGCCUAAAAGGUGCAAUUGCAUCACUACCAGAUGGACCUGCGUUGUAUUAGCUAGUUGGUGGGGUAACGGCUCACCAAGGCGACGAUACAUAGCCGACCUGAGAGGGGGAUCGGCCACACUGGGACUGCGACACGGCCCAGACUCCUACGGGAGGCAGCAGUAGGGAAUCUUCGGCAAUGGACGGAAGUCUGACCGAGCAACGCCGCGUGAGUGAAGAAGGUUUUCGGAUCGUAAAGCUCUGUUGUAAGAGAAGAACGAGUGUGAGAGUGGAAAGUUCACACUGUGACGGUAUCUUACCAGAAAGGGACGGCUAACUACGUG